rnacentral:rRNA from 1 species
UACGAAGGGGGCUAGCGUUGUUCGGAAUUACUGGGCGUAAAGCGCGCGUAGGCGGACUGAUCAGUUGGGGGUGAAAUCCCAGGGCUUAACCCUGGAACUGCCUUCAAUACUGUCAGUCUUGAGUUUGGGAGAGGUGAGUGGAAUUCCUAGUGUAGAGGUGAAAUUCAUAGAUAUUAGGAGGAACACCAGUGGCGAAGGCGGCUCACUGGCCCAUUACUGACGCUGAGGUACGAAAGCGUGGGGAGCAAACAGGAUUAGAAACCCUAGUAGUCC